rnacentral:rRNA from 1 species
UUUGAAGAGAGAGUUCAAGAGUACGUGAAACCGUUCAGGGGUAAACCUGAGAAACCCGAAAGGUCGAAAGGGGAGAUUCAGCUCGCCCGGCGUUCGCGAGCGGUUCGCGUCGUUGACGGGCGGCCGUUCGCGGCCAGCUCGCUCCGCGUUCCGAACGAUCGGACAUCGGGCGUGUGCACUUCUCCUCCUGUAGGACGUCGUGACCCGUUGGGCGCCGGCCUAAGGCCCGCGGUGGAGCCCGGACGACCUUCGUGCGUCCGGACCCGCGGUGUCCCGGCCGGUACGACCGACGGUACAAGUACGGCGCGGGGCCGCGACAUUUCGCGUCCGGCACGUCGCAAGCGCGGA